GUCAGUCCUAUAGAACAUUCUCUAUGUAGAGAGGAAAGUCACUACUGCAGAAGAGAUAACCUCCUAGGGUGCGUCCCCAGGGAUCCCAGCUUCUUCAGGCUUCUCUGAUCCAGUAUAAGUUACAAAACUUACAAUCAGUGGGGAAUUUCCUUAUUUGAAGUCUUGCCACUUCAGUGACUUUCUAAAUAGAAAUUAGAGAACCCAGAAAGGUUUUGAAAAAAUUUUUAGUUCUUCCUGGCAAUUGCAUGUAUAUUUUUUUCUGCAUGUUAUUUGGAUGUGAGGAGCUGUCAUUAUUAUUUUAGGAACAAAUAUGAAACAAUCUCUGGAAAAUGGAAUUUGAUUUUGAUUCAACAACAGGAGAAUUCUACUGUUUUUCUCCAGCAGCUCCACGAUAAAAGGGAACCCUGAGCAGAACACAUGCACAAACUCAUGCCAUACCCUAAGGGACAAGGUUCCCCACAUCUACUUGGAAAUCUUUGGGAUGCUCAAUGAUUAGCUCUUUGGAACUGAGAGAUGAGAUGAGGCCUGGAAAACUUCCCCCAGUACAGUCAAGUUCCUGUUGACUAAUUCUGUGACCACCAGUGACAGUCUUUGAGUCCGUGAGGCAGAGUUGCGGCAGCACAGGCUUUGCUUGGAGUUGGAUGGUUCGCACCCUGCUUGGCAUGGUUUCUAAGAGACAUCCUCUGAGUGGAUGAGGGGAGAAUCCAGCAGGCCUCUAGUCACACUGGAGAAAAACAAGGAGAGAAAAAUCUAAACCCAGCAGAAGAGAAAGUUUAAGAAAGCGGUCGUCGCCAAUACCAAAAUUAGCUAUGAUAUUCAGGAAGAAAAAAAUGGAAACACGAUAACCACAGUCAAUAAAGACCAAGGCCACAUUCCAUUGACCAGAGCUCAGCCACGCGCCACACCUGGCUAAAGAGACUCUGGCUGAAGAAUUCCCUGAAUAUUUUAAUGUAGCUCUAGGUUAUAACACAGAACAACCACAAGGUGGCAGAAGAACUCCAUUCUUGUAAAUCUCUUAGUUGCUUCUUUAUUUCAUCUUCCCUAUUCCAUCUAAUGUUCCCUGAAUUUUACUAUUUUGUUGGUUUGAAAAUAUGUGUGACUUACGUCCUUUAAAGGAUUUGGUUCGUAAGGUUUUGAAUAGACUGGAAUAUAAAACAUUUAUAGAAAAGAAAAAUACCUACAGUAUGAUGUUAGUGAACUAUUAAUAAUCCAAUUAAAUAAAAUAUAUUUGCUUUGGAUUAAUA
rnacentral:lncRNA from 1 species